UUCGCACUGUCAUGGGUGAUUUCGCGUUUUGCUCUAAUUGAAGAAAAAAAAAUCUCGCUCAUUGUGGAUGAUUGUAAAUCCGGCAUAACCACACUGGAGAAAAUCGAAUUAUUGGUAAAAUGUACACAUUUUUAGUAAAUAUUACCAAAAUUAUGUAAAAACUAUGUCAGAUGCAAUAUACAUCUCUACCAACGAUUCGUACAUUUUACUUCAGAGGAGCCGUCCGAUAUAGUAAAGUAUGGACAUAUUUCUCGAACCGUACCUAGUACGCACCUAGUGAAAUCGUAUCGCUAAAACAACGUCGAUGUACUUGAUUCAGAAGAGGAAGAGGAAUUAACUCAUUAAACAUUAACUCAUAAAAUCUCUACCAUUUGAUCGCACAUCCGACGGAGCAUGUUUUUAUACGAUUUGUGAGGACACAUCAUGGAGGAAAUUGAGACACAUAUCCGUAAGGACAUGUGCACACAAUGUUUCAUGUGAUGGAUUCUAAGUUUUCCUGGGAUGAUUGGCACAAAAUUCACUACGAAAAUCCCCCUCGAGAUUAAUGGUUCUUCACGAUAAGGAUUCGCCCAGAUACACUAUUCUUCAGGAACAAGUUUCACAUGUUAUUCUGGGAGCGUUGUAAUGAAUAGUUUGGUUCGAAUGGAACUUUCAACGGACAACUCAAAAACAUAGAUACAAAUACGAACAAAUACAAAUGAUUCCUCUCCCUGAAUGACGAAAAGAAACAGGAUCAUGAUCGAGUACAGAUGGCAAUGGAAGAAUCGUAUGGGAUCGACUUAGUUGACGCUGCGAUUAGACCUGUUCCCUAGUACUCUGCUCGUAGAAUUAUUGUAAUGACAAUUAUUGUUUUUUGUUAUUUACUUAUUAUUGAAGAAU